rnacentral:rRNA from 1 species
UGCCAUUAGUUGCCAUCAUUUAGUUGGGCACUCUAGUGGGACUGCCGGGGAAAACUCGGAGGAAGGUGGGGAUGACGUCAAAUCAUCAUGCCCCUUAUGUUCUGGGCUACACACGUGCUACAAUGGCCGGUACAACAGGCAGCGAACCCGUGAGGGGGAGCGAAUCCCAAAAGCCGGUCCCAGUUCGGACUGUAGGCUGCAACUCGCCUACACGAAGUUGGAGUUGCUAGUAAUCGCGGAUCAGAAUGCCGCGGUGAAUGCGUUCCCGGGUCUUGUACACACCGCCCGUCACACCAUGGAAGUUGGGGGUGCCCGAAGUCGGUUAGUUAAUCUAUCGCCUAAGGCAAAACCAAUGACUGGGGUGAAGUCGUAACAAGGUAGCCGUAUCGGAAGGUGCGGCUGGAUCACCUCCUUUCUAAGGA